rnacentral:tRNA from 1 species
GGAGAAGUGACAGAGUGGCCGAAUGUGCCUGACUCGAAAUCAGGUGUGCCGGAAACGGUACCGGGGGUUCGAAUCCCUCCUUCUCCGCCA